UACGUAGGUGGCAAGCGUUGUCCGGAUUUACUGGGCGUAAAGCGUGCGUAGACGGUUAUCUAAGUCGGGUGUGAAAGCCCCGGGCUCAACCUGGGAAUUGCAUUCGAGACUGAAUAGCUAGGGUGCGGAAGAGGGAAGCGGAAUUUCCGGUGUAGCGGUGAAAUGCGUAGAUAUCGGAAGGAACACCAGUGGCGAAAGCGGCUUCCUGGUCCAGCACCGACGUUCAGGCACGAAAGCGUGGGGAGCAAACAGG
rnacentral:rRNA from 1 species